rnacentral:rRNA from 1 species
GGAACCACCUGAUCCCAUUCCGAACUCAGCCGUGAAACGAUGCAUCGCCGAUGGUAGUGUGGGGUCUCCCCAUGUGAGAGUAGGUCAUCGUCAAGC